rnacentral:misc_RNA from 1 species
CUCUUUCAAUGAAAUUGUUUUUUUCAAUAAUUUGUCUAAAAAUUAUCAUAAGCAAAUAAAUAAAGAAUGGUUUAUUACUAAGACAAUUACUAGAAGGCAAGAGUUCAUGUGUUAAUUAAAACACUAAUAAGACAUGGAUACCCUUGGAUUUAUAUUUGCUGUAAUGCUUGAAUGGUGGAGAAACCAGCAAUAAAACACUAAAAAGAAUCAAAGAUUUCAUAAUCAUCAUUAUUAUGCUUAAGCUUAGAAGGGAUUUCAUACUGGUUGUAAGUCGUCACCAAAAUUUCCUCUAGAUUUGAGCAGUGAUUCGUGCAUGUCACCAUAUACAGAGUUAGAAUUCUGUAGAAGAGGGAGAUGGGAACAAUGGUGGGGUCAUAGCUGCAGUCUAUGACCUUAUACCUGCUUCAAGAUGCAAAGCAAAUUCGUUUCUUCAGAAGCUCUAGAUGUUUUUUCUUCGUCCUUUAGUCGAUAGCGGCCCUCCCAUUGAAUUCUCUUGUAAUCAACUUCAAUAUUUGGGAUGUGAGAAAUGAAAGGCCAAUUUCCACAUCUUUCUUUCGAUUGGGGACAACCAAUGAUUAACAACUGUAUGAAGUCUUCUUCUUUUCCCCCUUGACAAAUGAUUCGUAUCAUCAGUCCAAUUGCAUUAUCAGAUUGUAGUCAUUGUCUUGAUAUCUUCUCUGCUUCAGUUUGUUAACUGAACAUUCAAAUCUGAUCUUUAAAAUGUUUUAAGACGAAAUAAGCUGACACUUUUGCUGCUCCAUGCAAAGCCUAUCUCCUUGAAGGCCUUGUAGGAUGGCCACUGCUAUCUAUCCCCUUCACUGAAAUUAUUUUU